rnacentral:rRNA from 1 species
GAUGAACGCUAGCUACAGGCUUAACACAUGCAAGUCGAGGGGCAGCAUGAACUUAGCUUGCUAAGUUUGAUGGCGACCGGCGCACGGGUGAGUAACACGUAUCCAACCUGCCGAUGACUCGGGGAUAGCCUUUCGAAAGAAAGAUUAAUACCCGAUGGCAUAGUUCUUCCGCAUGGUGGAACUAUUAAAGAAUUCCGGUAAAGGAUGGGGAUGCGUUCCAUUAGGUUGUUGGUGAGGUAACGGCUCACCAAGCCUUCGAUGGAUAGGGGUUCUGAGAGGAAGGUCCCCCACAUUGGAACUGAGACACGGUCCAA